CGUUACAACCUUUUGCAAUGGUGUAAAAAACUUCAACAGUAUUUGGUUAUGUCAAUCAAAUUUUUGUUUUGUAAAACAGCAGAAAAUUGUACAUUGAGCCGAUUAUGUUAUACCGUGUGCACAAUAUUUACCGUGUGCACUCCAAAACUUACUUUUAGUCAUUCAAAAUAUCGUGUGUUAUAAGCAAUGAGUAAUGAAAUGGUAACGAUGUCUCAUGAUUACUGGUUUUUUUUCGAUAAAUUUUAUCGUGAAUUUCGUAAGAAAAAUUAACUAAAAAUUCUCUCCGUGUAGGCAUGAAAAUAUUGUAUUUUAUUGCCAACAAUCUUACUUCAUUUCCCACAUAACUUUCGGAACUUGCACUCUUACUAAUUUGUCUAGUUAAAUGUUCACUGGCAGAUGAAAAUUUAGAUUUUCUCUCACUUACAUCGCUAUUGAUACUUUUUCUGACUGUACUAAAUUAUUUACUUCCUUAUUUGCUUGAGCAAAGUUCGACAGGAAAUGAUUUAAGAGAUUUGUCAUUGCACAAAUGGCCGGACUUAAUAGGAUCUUCAGUCUAUCAAACAUAAAUUGCAUAUUUUUACUUAACCAAUAGUUUCAUAGUCCUUACAUUUAUAAUUACAAUUUAUCUGCUUCACAUAUUAUACUUUAUAGUUUUUGAUAUUUUCGCAUUUCAACUUGCGUUUUAAUUCAUUACCUUUUCACGAUCCAUCUUUCACGACUAAUGAUCGACACACGCAAAAAAUACAUAGUCCAUCUAACGAUGCAGUCUGACUAUAAUUUAGUGCAUCAUAUACUAUAACGGUAGGAACGUAGGACGAUUAGUGCGCCCUCUAUACAAAUAUAGAUAUCUUAUUGAAACCUGAUCAGGGCCAUAAGAGUUAACAUUAUCCUAGCCUGAAUGAGGAAAUAUGGCUUCUUGAGCAAGGUUUCCUAAUUACGCUGUCCUAAGAAAAGGUAUGUAUAGACCGUAACUAUAAUAUUCUCAAUAGCUCUUGAUCAAUGUCUGACUAAAAAAUAAUAGUAGCUCCACAGUUCUGGAAGCCCUCUUCCGCCCUCAUCUGGGACGACUAUAUAUGAGGAAUGCCCUAUUACAUUUUUACCUGGAACCUUGUGAUGUGCCACAUCGGGCCCUCGAGCGAGCCGCCCUUAGUAGCAAUACGACCGAUAGGUGAAGAAGAAACAAUCGGGAGUAGCCGUUUGACCGCUGACAUAUGAGAUUAUCUGUCUGACGUUAAGAUCUCUUUUGUAUUUUUUGUAAACUUAUUAAAAGUUAUUCUGUUAUCUGAAAUCUCCAGCUCGUUCCUUAUUGAAAGUCCUAUCAUAUCCUACACAGGGCACUAUUAUACUGUUAUUAUAUCGUCUGUUGAAAUGGCGUUUCCCAUACUCGAAGAAUAAAAAAACCUAGAACAUACAAAGGCAGCAGACCAGGUUAUAACGCUGAUAAAGUUAUAUUAUAAUUAUGCACGAGUAGCUAUCAAUCCGUUUUUAAGGGCACACAAGCUACCUUGAAACGAACAAGUAGAAAGUGCAGCGUGCGCAGAUCGCACGUUCUACCCGUACUAUUCAAAGUUGAAGGUUUUCUGCUAUUUCUUGUCCGUGUUUGCAGGUCUCAGUGCCGCUACAACAUUGGCUGGUGGUAUUGUAGGUAAAGCUGAAGAUGCAUAAUGCGAACGCAGUUAAAGAGCGGCUGGAGGAAAGUCAACGGUACAAGAAGACGAUGGAAAUCAUCGCAUUUGUUAAAGGACUGUACUCAACCCUAUAAAAAACACAUUCAUUUCAUUGCAUUCAUUUAAAGUAAAAAAAAACUUUAAGUGAAACUACCACGUUACCCGAUGCAGAUCUGCUCAGGUAUGUCAAGAUCAUGAAGUAGUACAAAUUAGAGAAUUCUAGAACAGGAUUCCUGUAACGGACAUUUAUCGACAUUUGACAGCCUCCAAAAGUUCGCGUACAUGUUAAAUCAAUGUCGUGGAUCCUCCCCCAUAAUUUCAAGGAUUGACGUCAUAGGAAUCACCGAUUUCAGAAAUUUUGCAAUGAAAUUUGAACAAUAACAUCAAAAGAAAAGUCAAUGAACAGCAAAAGAGAGAAGGAGUGACAAUAUACAUAGGGAAUACUUGGAAUUAGCAUUCAAGGGUAAAAUGAGAACUGGAGUAAUAACCAACUUACAGCACAAGGCCUUGAAGCAUUUCUUGGAAGAUUCAAGGAAAUUUAUCGCGACGAAGUGCAAAAUACGUUACAAAAAACAUGGAAACUUGAAAAUAAAAUAAUAAUGUGACGGAAAAAUUGCAAACUAAAAUAGUCGACUUCCAAGGGAAGUCAUCAGACUGGUCAUUACUUGAAAUUAUAAACAUGGCAGUGAACACCAAUAGAUACAUUCCGCUAUACGGAUGCUAAUUCUUAAAUGCUACUCAACCUAAACCUAAACGAAUCAAUAAAUUGAAACUUUACAAUCGUAUCUUUCACGCUCUUCAUGAAAGACGUAUACCGCUCAUUAUUUACUGGUACAUACCAUGUCCACUGUGCCCUCGAAAGAUAUAGUCAAAGCUCUGAUCAAGAAGUGUGAAUCAGAAUCUGGUAAGUUAUGAAACACAAUAGGAACGUUAUGUGAGUUCUUGUAGUUCAAAUUACACGCCUCAUGUGUACACCACAAGACUAGCCUGUGAAAUGGCAAUGACCACGAUGCUGGGCAUCCUGAAGUAUAAAUGGUUUUUCGCAAAUGUGAAAAAUCUUUGCCGAGUAACAUUCAUUGCUAUGUUUAAAAUUUAAAGACGCCAUUGAUACGAUAUGUUUCAGGCAAAGUUCUAUAAAGUGGGCUAAUUCCUUUAAUUUACUCAUAAACAGUUACACGGAAUCAUUUCCACAAUAAAUAAAAAAAUUUGAGAUAAAGUCAUUACUUUUACAUUAUAAAUAAAAUGAUAUGCUGUGUAAAAUCUGUUUUGUGAAAAAUCGUCGUGUUUGAAAAGUUGAAUGUGCCCGUAAACGGCUCUAAAAUCCACUCAAUGUCUGCAUAAAUAGCAAACAGUACAGAUUC